CUGGUGGAAAUUUUUGGGCCUCUACUAAUCUCAACUUUACUUGUAAGUAACUGCUUAAAUUUCAUGUCGCAUGAUGUCCUGUUUUAGGGAACGCUUGAGCUAAAUUUAGUUGAGAGAGGAAUUUUUAUUUUUUAUUUUACCUUUUAUUAUUCUUAACUGUGUUAGCUUGUAGUAACACUAACGCAGGAAUGGCUUUUUGAAUUGAAAAAUCAUAUUGAAUAAACAGUUAUACUUCGCUGUGUUUAAUAUAGUGC
rnacentral:misc_RNA from 1 species